GGAAGUAAAAGUCGUAAAAGGUCUCCGUAGGUGAACCUGCGGAGGGAUCACUACAGGCUUGCAAAAGCUCUGAAACCACUGUUUAUCUACCUGAAUCUGCCUCGGCGGGCGGCCCCAGGGCGGGGCCGUAGCCGCAAGGCGCCCGCCGAAGACCCCUAAACUCUGUCGUCUUGAGAAUCUCUGAGUAUCAUAUUAAACAGAAAACAACUUUCAACAACGGGUCUCUUGGCUCUG
rnacentral:misc_RNA from 1 species